rnacentral:tRNA from 35 species
UUCAAGUCCCUCUAUCCCCA